rnacentral:rRNA from 1 species
AACGAACGCUGGCGGCAUGCCUAACACAUGCAAGUCGAACGAGACCUUCGGGUCUAGUGGCGCACGGGUGCGUAACGCGUGGGAACCUGCCCUUAGGUUCGGGAUAACUCCCCGAAAGGGGUGCUAAUACCGGAUAAUGUCUUCGGACCAAAGAUUUAUCGCCUUUGGAUGGGCCCGCGUUGGAUUAGCUAGUUGGUAGGGUAAAAGCCUACCAAGGCGACGAUCCAUAGCUGGUCUGAGAGGAUGAUCAGCCACACUGGGACUGAGACACGGCCCAGACUCCUACGGGAGGCAGCAGCGGGGAAUAUUGGACAAUGGGCGAAAGCCUGAUCCAGCAAUGCCGCGUGAGUGAUGAAGGCCUUAGGGUUGUAAAGCUCUUUUACCCGGGAUGAUAAUGACAGUACCGGGAGAAUAAGCUCCGGCUAACUCCGUG